CAGGCCAUCCAUCCAAGAUCAUCCAUCUGAGCUGCUGAAAACUGCCUCGGUACGGAUCUGUUAGAGCUUUGUGUCACUGACUGUAUUUCUGCAAAUUCCUGUUCCGUGUCACAUGGCUUAUGCAAGACUGAAUCCAUAAAGAUGCUGUAACCAUAAAGCAACCAGGACAACACACCUGGAGUGACCGAGAGCAGGAUGAAGAAAGAAUCGGACGAGAAAAUAUCAACUGGUGCCCAUGAGGAGACAUAUUGUUCUUGGACCUGCUUUUUCUGUUUAGUAAUAAGUGGUUUUAUGUGGUUACAUAAAAGUAAUUUAAUAUUCAAUCCACAACCUAAAUUUCCUACAUUUUCUUAAAAGGGUAGUUGACCCAAAAAGGAAAAUUCUGUCAUUUACACAAACAGUUUGGUUACAAACAUUUCUCACAAUAUCUGCCUUCCUGUUUAUCAGAACAAAGAAAUUUAUGCGGGUUUGUAACAACAUGAGAGUGUGUAAAUGAUGACAUAAUUUUCAUUUUUGGGUGAAGUACCCCUUUAACAUUUUUAUACCCAGGGGUAGGGGUGUGCA